GAUGAACGCUGGCGGCGUGCCUAAUACAUGCAAGUCGAGCGAACGGACGAGAAGCUUGCUUCUCUGAUGUUAGCGGCGGACGGGUGAGUAACACGUGGAUAACCUACCUAUAAGACUGGGAUAACUUCGGGAAACCGGAGCUAAUACCGGAUAAUAUUUUGAACCGCAUGGUUCAAAAGUGAAAGACGGUCUUGCUGUCACUUAUAGAUGGAUCCGCGCUGCAUUAGCUAGUUGGUAAGGUAACGGCUUACCAAGGCAACGAUGCAUAGCCGACCUGAGAGGGUGAUCGGCCACACUGGAACUGAGACACGGUCCAGACUCCUACGGGAAGCAGCGGUAGGGAAUCUUCCGCAAAGGGCGAAAGCCUGACGGAGCAACGCCGCGUGAGUGAUGAAGGUCUUCGGAUCGUAAAACUCUGUUAUUAGGGAAGAACAUAUGUGUAAGUAACUGUGCACAUCUUGACGGUACCUAAUCAGAAAGCCACGGCUAACUACGUG
rnacentral:rRNA from 1 species